rnacentral:rRNA from 1 species
AUGAUGAAGUGGUUUGACAUUGAAGGGGUUAUUGAGCAGGAGGUUCUACAGGCUGUAAAACCUAGGAUCACUUUGGGGAUGAACAAAUUCCUAAUGGCGCCGUUCUCAAUGGAGGACAUGCGGAAAGCAUUGUUUCAAAUUGGAGACAUGAAGGCCCCUGGCCCGGACAGGCUUCAUGCAGUUUUCUUCAAGAGAUUUUGGCACAUACUUGGUGAGGAGCUAACUAAUGAAGUGCUCACAGCAAUCAACAAAAAGAAGAUGCCAAAAUGGUUGGAACCAAACAAAUAUUGUUCUAAUGCCAAAGGUGGAGAAUGUGGAGAUUGA